AAAGUCGUAACAAGGUUUCCGUAGGUGAACCUGCGGAAGGAUCAUUACAAAUAAACUGGCUAGGAAGUGGGGUCUUGAUCUGUAAGUCGGUAGAGCGAAGAGUCCCGGCUGCCUCCCGAAAUGUCUUACCAUGUCCCCCACAGCCUGAAGGCUGAAUUACAACCCUUAAUUAUCUACACUUGUUGCUUUGGGGUGCAUUCAAGUGCCCCAGAGGACCCAACUCUCUUGCAUUUGAGUGACGUCUGAGUACUAUAUAUAUUUGAAAAG
rnacentral:misc_RNA from 1 species